UUUUUUCUGUUAGUUUUAGGUUUUAGUUUUUUCUGUUUUGUUUUUAUUUAUUUUCUUUUCUGUUUUAAAUCAGUUUAAAUUAUUUAGCCAUUUUCUAAAAAUGUGAUUGUUGUACCAUAACUACCCUUGUAAUAUUUGGCACCCACCGAACAUUUUUGUUUCUACUUUCGAAAACUUUUAUUGUCGACAUUAAUUUUAAAUUUUAAUUUGACGCGGUUUGAACUAACGGACGUUUAGCAUCAGUAAUCGGGAUGACGUGGCUUGAUUAGCGUGGGAUUAUUUUAGCAAGAUUAUCCGAGCGUCACAAUUCUCCUCCACUACAAGAAAUCUCGUCCCGAGAUUUAAGAGGGGGACUAGGGGGAAAGGUCUGGUUACGAAAUCCUAACGAAUCUUCUCGUCUUUGGUUGCUCUUCUCGAAGAGGUCGAUCCAUUACAUUGAUGUCUUCAGUUCUCUACUUCGGGUCAUCAUGAUGAAGUUGUCGUCCUUACUUGGGGAUCUUCAUCGUACUUAAGGAAAGGAUAAGGGGUAGCUUCAAAAGGACAGACCUCUACAAGGUUGACUAUCUGGUCGAUAACAUCGAGGAAGGUGGCGGAAGUUACUCUCGAAUUGAAUCUUAAGAAAAUAUCGAGAGCAAAGUAAGGAGGUACCACGAGAAUUUUCAAACGAAUAGGCAAGCGUUCGAUGCCUAAUCAGAAGGUGAAAGGGGUUCAAGGCAACGAGAAUAAGUACUGCGUCUGAUACCAAAAUAGGUCACUUGGGACGGUGGUUCGUGAUUUACAUACGAGUCCACGCGCGAGGAAUAACUUUGGGAAACAGGGGGUGUACAGGAGAGUCAGCUUUCGAUCCUGUGGAACUGUGGGUUAUGGGCCCACCAUGUGGUUGAAAGUAGGAAGGGGGCCGACACCUUGCACGGUCACGAUAGUAAGGCGUGUUAGAGGGUAGCCUAUCAGUUAUGUCGGCAACAACAUCGAUACCAAGGGCGAGGGACGAAGAGAACCAUUUUCCUGCUCGUUAAACGAGGCGGGCUAAUAGGCAAGGUUCUCGUCCAUCGGUGGCAUACUGGAAUGUCAUCAACAAUAGUAACAGGGUCUUACUGACAGAAUUGUACACCGAGGUGUUUACAAAAUCAGUGACUUAUUACUGCUUAGAUCAUAUAAUUCCCAAGAAAGGUCAAACAAAACCAUGGAAAGGGAAACGUGAUUUCCAGAUUAAACAGAACAAUGGAAAGGAAAUGUGUUUAAACACAUAUUUCAGGGGUAUAUCCUUCCCAAGGACAAGCAGAGCACGAUAUCCAUGACAGGCUAUAAUGUAGAAAACUCUUUAGGUAAGGGGAGAGAAAUUUCAUGACAUUACCCAUACAACGGUGUUUGGAUAAUUGAGCAGGAAACAUUUAACAUUGGGCUUCAAAUGUUCUUGUUGAAAAUUGGAGUACCAUAGACAUGCUUCGAGAUAGCAUUGACAUGGCCAACAUGUGAAGAUCAGACUUUGGAAAGACAAAGGAUUCAUCAGGAAUAACUUAUAGAAUAAGUCUUACAAUUCCCUCAUGGAAGAAUGGUUAACCUUGCCAAAAGGAACAACUAUAACAAUAGGUCCUCCGGCCAGGGGUGCUAGGCAUGACAUCACCUUACCGGGUCUUAUGAAGACUAGCGUUAUAACUCUUGUAAAUAUGUUCCAACCAUCAUAUCUGAUGGAGAUUCAGAUAUGAUUGGUGUCAGGAUAACUCAGACUUAAGAUGCCUGAGAAGAAAGGUGCAACACAAUUGUCGAGAUGGCAUUGUAAGAUUCUCGGGAAAUGAACUAUGGGAGCGAGUUUCAACAGAAGAGUUCAUCAUUUAAACCAAAGAGAGGAUGACGGGGUAGCUGAUGGAGCCAGUGACAAUCCUCGAGAUUUCCAAAAAGGUGGAUUUCCACAAUUAUGUGAACAAGGAGAUAGCAUUUGUCAGAUCAAAUGGUAUAAUGAUGUAUGCUCGAGGAAAACAUACACAAUUAACAUUGGUUGAAAGGUGCACCCGAAAUAUGGGCUGGGUUGCACGACCAACAUUGGAAUGGUGAUUCAAUAAUCAACAGUCUAAGAAUGAACGGCCGACCAUUAACUUCAAAGCAAUAGGGUUGCUAGAAGGGCGGAAUCCAAACAGCACCGCUCACUUGUUGGUACCCCGGUUGGAAUCAACACAAGGACCAAGAAAGAAUGGUGAUGGUGAGAAGUAUCAAUAUACCAAGAAUUCUUACGAGGUGGUGAUAUUCCUACGGCAUUCUUGACAUAAAAGGUGGUAAUACUCCAAGGUAAAGAAGAACAAUGCUAGGUAGCAAGGAACUCAAGGUAUAACACGAAACAUGAACAAGCUUGUGUUGGGGAAGGCAAGAAUGUCGUCGAUGAUAACACAAUCAUCGAGGGGCAAGGAUGGUAUUUCUCAUCAUGAACACAGUUGACAUCUCGGAAGAAGUCAAAGUGUUGAAGGUGAUCCAACACAUUUGCCGGGGGUUUUCGAGAGGAUGCAAUUGUCAGGACCCCGACUCAAUGCCACAUCGAUCUAGCAUGUAACACCUCAUAUCACUUUGCGGCCUCACGCACGGUAUUCCCACGGUUGUCGCCUUACCUUUGCCCGGGACCGUUUGCGCCUUUUGGCACACGUAUAUGACAGUGUCGCUAGCAUCCAUAUGAUAAGGAGCCCGGGCUGACAUGGCUAGUCGUAAACCCAAAGUGGCACAGACUUACAGGGACAGGCAUCCAUGACCCAGCAUCGAACGUGUCGGUCAUCAGCGAGUGAAUCCAGGCUAUAGCACUGGGCUAGCAGGACUCCGGUGAACCGGGCUGUAGCGGGCUAACAGGACUCCGGUAUUCAUCGCGUGACAUUUCCCCGAAGGGACAGACACAGGAACGAAGAAGGACACAUGCCGGCCAGCCUAAGUGUUCCGGAGCAGUAGCAAGCUACCAAGGCUCAAUGGAAACACUAGGAGACAUUUCCCGGUAAGAGAGGCUACUAAAGAUAAACAACUAGAUGGUCAGAUCCCACACAUACCAAGCAUUUCAAUAACAUACACACAAUAUGCUCGAUAUGUGCAAAUACAACAUGGCAUCACAACAUGACUCUACGACUCAAGUAUUUAAUCAAUAGGCUCCGAGGAGCGAGAUAUUACAAACAUGGGUCUCAUGACCCAACACUCAGAGCAUACAAGUCAAAGCACAAGCGGAAGCUAUCAUGUCUGGGUACAGACAUCUAUAAAUGAAAAAGGCUGAGAAGCCUGACUAUCUACCAGAUCCUGCCGAGGGCACAAGAUCGUAGCUGAGGUAACAAGCUAAACGUCGAAGUCCACGCGGUACUACUAGCGAGACCGAAAUCUCUCUGCAAAACAUAAAAUAGGCAAACGUGAGUACAAAUGUACCCAGCAAGACUUACAUCAGAACUAACUACAUAUGCAUCAUUAUCAACAAAGGGGAUGGUGGGGUUUAACUGCAGCAAGCCAGCUUUGACUCGGUGGCUAUCCUAAACUACGACUGCAAGCGACUCUUUUGAGGUAGCGCACACGAGUCCACAUAUUCACCAUAUCAAUACACCACUAUGGAUCCGCUCCCGUCUCCCUACGAGAACGCCAUCCAUAGCACUCACACUUAUCUUGCGUAUUUUAGAGUACCCACUUUCACUUGUCUAUGAACUGAUAUAAGCAACCCAGAAGUCCUUUUCCGCGGACACGGCUAUUCGAAUAGAUGAUAUUAACCCUGCAGGGGUGUACUUCUUCAUACAUGUUUCCACCACUUAGCGUCUGCACAUGACAUGUGCUCGGCAGACUUCAAGCGAAAGCCGACGUGGGUGUAGACCACGACCUACCUAAACACUCAAGUCUCUAGUCCAGGUUUAUCGCCUAUUCGGGAUCCAUCCAUGAGGAGAUCUGGCCGGAGUUUCGGUCACAGCCCCAAACGAUGUGAACAGGGUUCCGUGACACCAAACGGGCGCCCGGUAUACCCGGCCACGUGCCUACCGCAUCACAGCCCACCCCUACGGUCAGCGCUGUCCACGGCCUCCAGCAUACUACAAACACCAGAAACUAGUUGCAACUCCUGGACAGAGGACAAGGGUGAAUAAGAAGUCGAGCGGGGUCAUAUUUCAGGGCCCAAUGCAUGGUAGUAGCUAAAUCAUGGAUCACAAACAUAGAACUCAGUUCCUAAGGACGGCUUCAAUGAGACAACCCACCAUGUACUCCUACAUGGCCUCUCACCGACACCUUUUACCAAAUCGUGUUCACACACUUAGCUCACACACAGUAGGACAUGUUCACACGCCUCUGAUUCAUCCCCGAUGAAUCAGACCUGACUCAACUCUAAGCAGUAGUAGGCAUGACAAACAAACAUGAAUGAGUAGGCACAACAGGGCUCAAACAACUCCUACUCAUGCUAGUGGGUUUCAUCUAUUUACUGUGGCAAUGACAGGUCAUGCAAAGGAUAAAGGGGUUCAACUACCGCAACAAGUAACAGAUGAAUCGUUGUUGUCCUAAUGCAGUAAAAGAGAGCAGGAGCGAGAGAGUAGGAUUGUAUCGGAAUGAACAAGGGGGUUUUGCUUGCCUGGCACUUCUGAAGAUAACAUUGAGUCUUCAUCAGUGUCAACGAUCACAUCAUCGGUAUCACGUCUAUCGAGAGGGGACAAAUACCGACAACACAGAAGGGAACACAAUCAAUGCAAUGCACAAUAUGAUGCAUGAUCAUGACAUGGCAAAAUGAAUGUGUUUUGAGCUAAUGCAACUAGUAACAGAUUAAAUGAAGUUGGUUUGAAUACAAGAUUCAAAUUCAAACUCCAUAUGUGAUUAUUCAAAUGCCAUUUAAUUGAUUUGUGCUAAACAGCAGCUAUAAGUUGUUCUAACAUGCAUGAAAAUGGUACAGAUGGAUUCCUUGAUUUUUUCUGAUAAUUUUUCAUAUAUAAUUUAUUUAAUUUGGAGUUACGGUUAAUUUUCUAUGAAUUUUAGAAGUUUUGGACAUUUUUUUGAAAAUAAUAAAUCAUUUAAGAUUUAUUUAAAUUCCAGAAAGGAAUUAUUGCGUCAGCACCACGUCACAGUGACGUCAGCAGGGUCAACUGGGCUGGCUCGGGUCAAACCUGACCAGUGGGGCCCACUGGUCAGUGUCUCAGGUCUGGAUUGCGUGAAUGACAGGUGGGACCGGUCAACGAUGACUGGGCCAGAGUCAAAGCUGACACGUGGGGUCCACGGCACUAACACUAAUUUAACAGAAUAAUUAUAUUAACCUAAUUAAGUGCAGGGGCCCACAUGGAAGUGGCUCUGGGGGUGUUUAGCGGGGUUACUAGCACUAAUUAACCGGCGCCGCGUCACAGGUGAUGCCGGCGACCACAGCAGCGGCGGGAACUCGCCGGAGUUGGUCGAGGCGGCGCUACAGGCUGCGGUUGGGCACCCUGAGGGCACCAGGAGGGAGCCCGUGCUCCCGCGCGUCUAGGGGCGCACGCAGCGGGGCACAGGGAGGCCGGGGUCGACGGCGGCGACCAGAACAGCGGCGGCCGGAGCUACGGGUUCGAGCGGCGCGGGGCUGCAGCUUCCAAAUGAACAAGCUAGGCGGUUGGGAAGCAUCUGCGGGACGUGUCGAACUCGUCCAGGUGCUCUUCAUGGUCAGCGGGGGUCGCUAGCAAUGGCGAGCUUCACGGUGGCGGCGGCGAGCUCUCGGCCAUCACAGAAAUAACGGCUAGGGGAUGCAAUUGAUGGUGGGGAGAGGGGGAGAACGAAGAGGAGCUCACAGCGGUGAGGGGGAGCAACUCGGUGUAGCCGGGGACGUGCUGAGGCCGCAAAUUGACCGGAGGGGGCCGUCGGAUCCGGAGGUUGAAGACGGCGCGUUGGCGGCGAUGCAGGGCUUCCGGAGGGCCGUGGAUCGGUGGGGAGGAAGAGGGGGUCGAGGCGGAGCUCCUGGGUGCAUCGGCGAGGCUAGGGGUGGCCGGUGGCCAUGAGCACGGCGACGACGACGGCGAGCUCCGCUCGAUGGUGUGCACGAGAGGGAAGCAGAGGAGGGAAUGGGGUCCAGGGGGAGAGAGGAGAGGUGCAGGGGGCGAGGGGGAGUGCGUGGCUCCCUCGGGUGCCUCCAGCGACGAGCAGGUAAGCAGGAGGUGGCCGGAGCUCUCGGGCACGCGCCACGCCUCGCCUCUGUUCGUCCUCCUGGCAGAGGAGGAAGAGGACAAGGGGGAGGAGGUGGGCUGGGCCGGCUGGGCCGGUUGGUGGCGCCAGGUAGGCUGCGGGUAAGUGGCCCAGGUGGGUUUUCUGCUCUGUUUUAUUUUUUCCUUCUGUUUUGUUUUAUUUAAUCUUUUGCCACUGUUUUGAAAUAAAACAAAUUCAAAGACAGUGACAAAAUUCCCCUGAACAUUUUAUUUAGCACAAUGGAAUUAUACCAAAGCACAUAAAAAUGUUUCAGUUAUUUGAACAUAUAUUCAGUAAUAUUUGGAUAUAAGUUCAAAUUCAAAAUAGUAUUGAUUUAAAUUCAAAGUCUCAAAAUAAAUCCUUUUAAAAUGUUCAUUAUUUUUGGUUUGGAUCAAAACCCUUGCCAAAAAUAUUAAACAUCUAAGAAGAACAUUUUGGAACAAUGAAUGAGAUUUUAGGGUUUUUGCCCUUCUUUUAUUUAGGGUUUUGAGGCUUCUGACUUCCUCAGUUCAGGUUUCAAAAGUUUAAACAUGAUGCCCAGAUGGAAGCAAGCAUAGGACAGGCCAGAACUAGGGAUGUGAUAACUCACCCCCACUAAACAAGAAUCUCGUCUCGAGAUUCAAGCGUAGGGUAGGAUGAAAGGGAAACGCAAACUAGUACAAUCUUCAAGAUCCAGGUUGCACUUCAAAUGAACGUUGAUUUGAACACCAUCUUUGUCUUGUCGUCUUGCUCUGAGAACUCCAGCUAAUCAUGACAAGAAGAGGAAAGGAAAACUCUGGAAGGAUCGGUCUUGUCGAAGGUCGAACAACUCAGGAUUAACUCCCGGAAUGUGACAUAGCAACAUCUCUCGAGCUGAGUGACGAAGCAUACCUCUAGAGGGAUGGAGUGGAGCAGGUGACGAGGUUCACUAGGUAGACAACAAUUCCAGACUUAAGAAUGUGGCGAUCGGUUGUCAACGUAGCGAGGAGUUGAAUUGCCAUGAUACCACGACGAAACAUCCUGGAGAAGGGUGAUUCGUAGAUUAUUAUCUUAAGUGGCAAAAAGAAUUACCUUUGAUAUAGAGAUCAUUGAGACUCUCUAUAUCAGCCUAAGGCAAAUCACAGCAAUCGAUUGGCGGGGUCGGUAGAAUGGCAUACUUGGACUUGGAUGAUGUGGAUUACCUUGUUGAAGACAACGUAAUGGAUGAACUUGCUUACCACCGGAAAUGGAAGAGACCCAUGGUAGAAUGGCACAUUGACGGUGCAAGCUGGGAACAAAAUGCAAAUGCUGGGAAUGAUUCUGGUAACUGGGGAAGAACCCAACAAUAGAGAGUGAAUUCACUGUUUGAGUAGGUCAUAGCAUUGCCGAGGAAACGGAGAGGAUCCCCAGUUAGUGCCGAAGAUAACACCUAGCGCUUGUGCGUGCUCUCAAGAACUUGAGCAUUUCCACAAUCAUCAAGGUUUUACCAACAUCCGUGUCAAUGAUUCUGGCAACACAACUUGCUACCAUGAUGAAUGAUGAUGGAUGAUGCAGAUGCAAAGGAAGAUAACACUUUCUCAGAUUUCACCCUUGGCGGGGCCAAGGAAAUAAAAUCUGGAUGAUCGACCGAGAGACAUUUAGCACUCCGCUUCUAAUGUUCUCCUUGAUGUGCCAGUGUAACCCACUCAUUGAAAUGGUUUGGUAGCUAGAACAUCAAGUAAAGGUCGGACUUCAGGAACACAAAAAUCCAUAAGGAACAACUAGGGAGUAAAUCCUAUGAAAUCCUUAUGGGGAGGUGGCCAACCUCCUUAAUCAAGAUACUACAACAAUGGGUCUUCCGGCUGGGUGUGUUGGCCACGACAUCCACCUUACCGGUUAUCGAGGGACCAAUAUUAUAGUUCUUGGGAAAUGUUCCAACCAUCAUAUCUGCCUGAGAUUCAGAUCUGGUUGGUGUCAGGAUAUUCCAGACUCAUCGAGUCUAGGAAGAAUAAGAAAGUUUGCAACAUAAAUCGAUGAGAUGAUGUUGUGAGAUUCUCGGGAAAUGAACUACGAUAGCAAGCUCCAAAACAUGAGCUGGUUCUUCUACACACGUGUGAACACGCUGUCACAGACAAACAUGAACACAUGGUAGUCUUAUAAUAAAACACUACCGAGUUCAGGGGGAAAACCAUCAUCGAGGAUAUCGAAGUCCUUGCAUAAGGUAUACUCUUAAGAAGGAACUUCUUCUCCUUGAACAAAUCAAUCAGUGGCUUGGUGUGCUCGGGACACAUAUAGAAUGGAGGUAGCUAAUCUCACAAUCCAAUGUAUACUUCACACAUGCAUGACUGACUUGGGAUGAUUCCAAGGAAGCAAAAACAAUCUUUCUCGGAUACACGGCGGCAACUUACACCAAGUGCACGUGAAUUAGAGAAAGUCACAUCUUUCAUCCGGACAUAUGCUCCAUGAGCGGGUCAUGAAGAUAAUGCUUAGAAAAGUUUCCAGUACUAGCUGGAUGUUCAACAUAAUCAUGGAGAGGUUAAAUAUAUUGCUGAUGGGCUCAACAACAACUCAUCCUGGUUUCCAUGAAGAAGGAGUUCCAUAAUUAUGUGAACGAGUGAUAGCACUAGUCAGACCCAAACGAUAUAAUGGUGUAUGCUCGAGGAAAAUCCACGAGUAAGACAACACUACGAACAUCGUUGGUUCGGAUUUGAUUUGACGAUAGCCCAUACUCAAAUCAAAGGUUUGGGUAAGAUAAUAGAUCGAACAAUUGAUCACAAGGACCAAUUGAUGAAGAUAUCAUCUUUCUUCAACACACACUACACAAGAAUAUCCCUUUGGAACGAACUAAGUCGGGCAAGCUUCCAUCUUCCAACUUUCCAAGUUGUUGUUCAGCUUAGCCAACUAGCUCAGGGGUAUCCCACACAGAUUCUUGGAGAAGGGGUGGUUUACAAGGAUAAACCAACUUGAUCACGAGCUCAACAUAGCGGUCGGGUGACGACCCGGUGAUACUUCCGAGAAGAUAAUCGGAAAAUCACAACCACCGAUAUGCUAUUAGGCUCAGGAACAAUCUUGCUUUUCAGGGCAAGACGAUAUGAUCAACAGAGCGAGGGAUUGGCACAAUACUAACUCAUUGAUCGAAGGGUGCACCGGAAAUAAGGACUAGAUAGCACGAUCAGUCUUAGAAUGAUGAUUCAAGAACCAACAGGCUAAGAAUGAAAUUAUUGUCCUUUAACUACCAAACAACGAGGUUGCUGGGAGUAUGGAUUUCACACAUCACAAUUCAUUUGUCGGUAUUCCGGUUGCAUCAACACGAGGGCCGAGGAAUGACUAAUGAUGGUGAGAAGUAUCACUACGUCAAAAUUCAUGAGAGUUGGUGCAGUUUUCAUGACAAUUCUGACAUAAAGGGGGUAAUACUCCAAGGUAGAACAGAACCAAAAGCUGGAUUGGCAUCUGAUCUGCGGAAUACAACUACUUUGACCCAAUCCUAGAUAUGGAUGAGGUACUGGAGUUUGUUUCUCCAAGUCAUUCAGGACAGAAUGGCUUGACGGACCACAAGAGUAAUAGGCAUCGACAAACGAACGCACACAUACUCUUGACUACCAAUUGAUAGACGAAGGUCAGUAGACAACUAAAGAGGGACAACUCAAAGGAACAUAUAACUUUCUGAGUUGUGGAUGCAUAGAUUAGUAUGUCGAACCAAGUUCAACAUAAUUCCUCCGGAUAACCCAUGCAGAAAGGUAGAACUGGCAGAACCACAAUAUAUAAUGGAGAACUCAUCAAGAGCACUCUGGUUGUGAUCGUUCAGUUCAACGAGGAACUUCUGCCAUAAGUAGUUCAUGGUAUUUGGAAGAAGAAGAUACCACGGACUUCAAGGACUAUCGCAAAGGUUACUAAUAACCUAAGGGAACUAGCAAACACUAUCGACAUGAAGUAAGUAGGGUGAAUCUCGGGUUCAAGAAGCCCGGAAUGGAAUACCUACUAACUAAGUGGCACCAAGGGAUGCUUACGAGAAUGAUGGCCAGAAUCAUCACACUGGGACACAAUCAUGGCUAAAUUACUAGAUGAUCCCCUAAGACACCUAGGGUCAUAAUACCAACUCCAACAUAUAUGUCAAGGCAAUAAAGUACCUCAACUCACUGAUUUGUGUGAUUAAUCUGACCAAAGGCACAUCGGAAACAGGAGGAAGGGGUUUGCAAAUGCAUCAGACUCUUUGGAAACCUGGGAUGACUCGGACAGCAUAACGGCUGUAAAUGCUCAAAAAAGAUUUGAGACAUUCACAAAAAUGGUGGCAUAACCACUCAGAAGCAUAGUAUCAAGGUUUCGAGAUCAACAGUUAACGUACGGAACUAGUAGAAACUGAACUCAAGCUUAAAUCCAACAAUCUUAUAAGUCUACGGAUUAGUAACACGUGAUCCUGAUAGAAAGAAGAGAUAGCCUAGUUCUUAAUCCCCGUAGGAAAGAUAAGAUGACUCAGAUCAGAAGGCAUAAGGUAUAAGGAGUAAAAAGAGCCUUACGUUCCAUCCCACAAUCAAUUCCCUUAUAUAACUAAAGAAUUUCUAGACUCAACUUCGACCAGUUUGGCUUGGUAAUCCUACAGGCAGUCAAGCUCUGAUACCAACACUGUCAGGACCCCGACUCAAUGCCACAUCGAUCUAGCAUGUAACACCUCAUAUUACUUUGCGGCCUCACGCACGGUAUUCCCAUGGUUGUCGCCUUACCUUUGCCCGGGACAGUUUGCGCCUUUUGGCACACGUAUAUGACAGUGUCGCUAGCAUCCAUAUGAUAAGGAGCCCGGGCUGACAUGGCUAGUCGUAAACCCAAAGUGGCACAGACUUACAGGGACAGGCAUCCAUGACCCAGCAUCGAACGUGUCGGUCAUCAGCGAGUGAAUCCAGGCUGUAGCACUGGGCUAGCAGGACUCCGGUGAACCGGGCUGUAGCGGGCUAACAGGACUCCGGUAUUCAUCGCGUGACAUUUCCCCGAAGGGACAGACACAGGAACGAAGAAGGACACAUGCCGGCCAGCCUAAGUGUUCCGGAGCAGUAGCAAGCUACCAAGGCUCAAUGGAAACACUAGGAGACAUUUCCCGGUAAGAGAGGCUACUAAAGAUAAACAACUAGAUGGUCAGAUCCCACACAUACCAAGCAUUUCAAUAACAUACACACAAUAUGCUCGAUAUGUGCAAAUACAACAUGGCAUCAUAACAUGACUCUACGACUCAAGUAUUUAAUCAAUAGGCUCCGAGGAGCGAGAUAUUACAAACAUGGGUCUCAUGACCCAACACUCAGAGCAUACAAGUCAAAGCACAAGCGGAAGCUAUCAUGUCUGGGUACAGACAUCUAUAAAUGAAAAAGGCUGAGAAGCCUGACUAUCUACCAGAUCCCGCCGAGGGCACAAGAUCGUAGCUGAGGUAACAAGCUAAACGUCGAAGUCCACGCGGUACUACUAGCGAGACCGAAAUCUCUCUGCAAAACAUAAAAUAGGCAAACGUGAGUCCAAAUGUACCCAGCAAGACUUACAUCAGAACUAACUACAUAUGCAUCAUUAUCAACAAAGGGGAUGGUGGGGUUUAACUGCGGCAAGCCAGCUUUGACUCGGUGGCUAUCCUAAACUACGACUGCAAGCGACUCUUUUGAGGUAGCGCACACGAGUCCACAUAUUCACCAUAUCAAUACACCACUAUGGAUCCGCUCCCGUCUCCCUACGAGAACGCCAUCCAUAGCACUCACACUUAUCUUGCGUAUUUUAGAGUAUCCACUUUCACUUGUCUAUGAACUGAUAUAAGCAACCCAGAAGUCCUUUUCCGCGGACACGGCUAUUCGAAUAGAUGAUAUUAACCCUGCAGGGGUGUACUUCUUCAUACAUGUUUCCACCACUUAGCGUCUGCACACGACAUGUGCUCGGCAGACUUCAAGCGAAAGCCGACGUGGGUGUAGACCACGACCUACCUAAACACUCAAGUCUCUAGUCCAGGUUUAUCGCCUAUUCGGGUUCCAUCCAUGAGGAGAUCCGGCCGGAGUUUCGCUCACAGGCCCAAACGAUGUGAACAGGGUUCCGUGACACCAAACGGGCGCCCGGUAUACCCGGCCACGUGCCUACCGCAUCACAGCCCACCCCUACGGUCAGUGCUGUCCAUGGCCUCCAGCAUACUACAAACACCAGAAACUAGUUGCAACUCCUAGACAGAGGACAAGGGUGAAUAAGAAGUCGAGCGGGGUCAUAUUUCAGGGCCCAAUGCAUGGUAGUAGCUGAAUCAUGGAUCACAAACACAGAACUCAGUUCCUAAGGACGGCUUCAAUGAGACAACCCACCAUGUACUCCUACAUGGCCUCUCACCGACACCUUUUACCAAAUCGUGUUCACACACUUAGCUCACACACAGUAGGACAUGUUCACACGCCUCUGAUUCAUCCCCGAUGAAUCAGACCUGACUCAACUCUAAGCAGUAGCAGGCAUGAAAAACAAACAUGAAUGAGUAGGCACAACAGGGCUCAAACAACUCCUACUCAUGCUAGUGGGUUUCAUCUAUUUACUGUGGCAAUGACAGGUCAUGCAAAGGAUAAAGGGGUUCAACUACCGCAACAAGUAACAGAUGAAUCGUUGUUGUCCUAAUGCAGUAAAAGAGAGCAGGAGCGAGAGAGUAGGAUUGUAUCGGAAUGAACAAGGGGGUUUUGCUUGCCUGGCACUUCUGAAGAUAACAUUGAGUCUUCAUCAGUGUCAACGAUCACAUCAUCGGUAUCACGUCUAUCGAGAGGGGACAAAUACCGGCAACACAGAAGGGAACACAAUCAAUGCAAUGCACAAUAUGAUGCAUGAUCAUGACAUGGCAAAAUGAAUGUGUUUUGAGCUAAUGCAACUAGUAACAGAUUAAAUGAAGUUGGUUUGAAUACAAGAUUCAAAUUCAAACUCCAUAUGUGAUUAUUCAAAUGCCAUUCAAUUGAUUUGUGCUAAACAGCAGCUAUAAGUUGUUCUAACAUGCAUGAAAAUGGUACAGAUGGAUUCCUUGAAUUUUUCUGAUAAUUUUUCAUAUACAAUUUAUUUAAUUUGGAGUUACGGUUAAUUUUCUAUGAAUUUUAGAAGUUUUGGACAUUUUUUGAAAAUAAUAAAUCAUUUAAGAUUUAUUUAAAUUCCAGAAAGGAAUUAUUGCGUCAGCACCACGUCACAGUGACGUCAGCAGGGUCAACUAGGCUGGCUCGAGUCAAACCUGACCAGUGGGGCCCACUGGUCAGUGUCUCAGGUCUGGAUUGAGUGAAUGACAGGUGGGACCGGUCAACGAUGACUGGGCCAGAGUCAAAGCUGACACGUGGGGUCCACGGCACUAACACUAAUUUAACAGAAUAAUUAUAUUAACCUAAUUAAGCGCAGGGGCCCACAUGGCAGUGGCUCUGGGGGUGUUUAGCGGGGUUACUAGCACUAAUUAACCGGCGCCACGUCACAGGUGAUGCCGGCGACCACAGCAGCGGCGGGAACUCGCCGGAGUUGGUCGAGGCGGCACUACAGGUUGCGGUUGGGCACCCUGAGGGCACCAGGAGGGAGCCCGUGCUCCCGCGCGUCUAGGGGCGCACGCAGCGGGGCACAGGGAGGCCGGGGUCGACGGCGGCGACCAGAACGGCGGCGGCCGGAGCUACGGGUUCGAGCGGCGCGGGGCUGCAGCUUCCAAAUGAACAAGCUAGGCGGUUGGGAAGCAUCUGCGGGACGUGUCGAACUCGUCCAGGUGCUCUUCAUGGUCAGCGGGGGUCGCUAGCAAUGGCGAGCUUCACGGCGGCGGCGGCGAGCUCUCGGCCAUCAUAGAAAUAACGGCUAGGGGAUGCAAUUGAUGGUGGGGAGAGGGGGAGAACGAAGAGGAGCUCACAGCGGUGAGGGGGAGCAACUCGGUGUAGCCGGGGACGUGCUGAGGCCGCAAAUUGACCGGAGGGGGCUGUCGGAUCCGGAGGUUGAAGACGGCGCGUUGGAGGCGAUGCAGGGCUUCCGGAGGGCCGUGGAUCGGUGUGGAGGAAGAGGGGGUCGAGGCGGAGCUCCUGGGUGCAUCGGCGAGGCUAGGGGUGGCCGGUGGCCAUGAGCACGGCAACGACGACGGCGAGCUCCGCUCGAUGGUGUGCGCGAGAGGGAAGCAGAGGAGGGAAUGGGGUCCAGGGGGAGAGAGGAGAGGUGCAGGGGGCGAGGGGGAGUGCGUGGCUCCCUCGGGUGCCUCCAGCGACGAGCAGGUAAGCAGGAGGUGGCCGGAGCUCUCGGGCACGCGCCACGCCUCGCCUCUGUUCGUCCUCCUGGCAGAGGAGGAAGAGGACAAGGGGGAGGAGGUGGGCUGGGCCGGCUGGGCCGGUUGGUGGCGCCAGGUAGGCUGCGGGUAAGUGGCCCAGGUAGGUUUUCUGCUCUGUUUUAUUUUUUCCUUGUGUUUUGUUUUAUUUAAUCUUUUGCCACUGUUUUGAAAUAAAACAAAUUCAAAGACAGUGACAAAAUUCCCCUGAACAUUUUAUUUAGCACAAUGGAAUUAUACCAAAGCACAUAAAAAUGUUUCAGUUAUUUGAACAUAUAUUCAGUAAUAUUUGGAUAUAAGUUCAAAUUCAAAAUAGUAUUGAUUUAAAUUCAAAGUCUCAAAAUAAAUCCUUUUAAAAUGUUCAUUAUUUUUGGUUUGGAUCAAAACCCUUGCCAAAAAUAUUAAACAUCUAAGAAGAACAUUUUGGAACAAUGAAUGAGAUUUUAGGGUUUUUGCCCUUCUUUUAUUUAGGGUUUUGAGGCUUCUGACUUCCUCAGUUCAGGUUUCAAAAGUUUAAACAUGAUGCCCAGAUGGAAGCAAGCAUAGGACAGGCCAGAACUAGGGAUGUGAUAGAAAUCAAACAACAACGGCAACAAGCAAGGGAAUGACGAAGUGGCCAGUUAUAGGAUCAAUAUAUAAGAUGCAAGCUCGGAACCAAGGUUGCCUUUCUCGACAAGCAACAUGAUGUUGAAAGCUCGACGUAAGUCGUGCUCACACACUGAAGAAUUCGUGCACCAGAGAAGGACGAGGUAGCACAGUUAAAAUCGGUACGACAAGGAUAUAGCCAAACAGGCUAGGAAUGACGUGACUGAGUUCAAACUCGUAAGUAAUGAAGGUUACAAGAGUUGCUUAAUCGCGAUACGGACUCGAGUCAGUUAUCGGUGUCUUUGAGUGUUUAAUAACUCAAAGCCCGUGAAAAAUUGGAAACAAUGAGAAUGCAGCACUUGAUGAAGAACUCAUAAGAAGUUAUGCAGUUCCGUGAUAAUCUUGAGAUACCAGGGGGGUAAUACUCAACGACAAAUCAAAGUAGAGGUUGGACUGGGGUAUUACUCUACAGAAGACAAGUGCUUAAACUUACACGAGAAAUGGUAUUUAAAGGAGAACAUGGUCGGAAACCACGAUCAUAAAUGAUUGAACCACGGAUACAAGAUGAACUUAUAUCAAGGGGGUAACUAUUUUUACGAGCAGCUUCCAUGGUAAGUUAUACCUCGUGUCCAUGGGCAUGAACGCAAGGUUCAAGGUCGACUCCCACUUCUUCAAUGUAUAACCUUCCAUUCACUUCUCGCCUUCAACGAAAUUGUGUGUUGAAAUUUUAUCUGACAUAACACUAGUAGAGUAUGACCUGUAGUAGUUUCCGGGUUCACACAGUUUAGAGAAGGCAUAUGUCCAACCCAUCGGGCCUCUUAGGAACAUAUACCACAAACUUCAGGAGUAAAUAACACAAGCUCGAUAGCAGAGCAUGGUUGACAAAGCAGGGGAUACAAUUUACCAAAGGCGGUAUACAUCCUAGGAAAGGCUCAAGGUUAUUGAAUAUGAAGGACAUUGUCGGAUAAAAUCCAACAAAGGAUCUGGGGUGAGUAUCGGCACACAACCAGAGGAAGAAGCAAGGCAAUUACAUUGGAUUAUAGAAACAACUGAAUAACUUAGAGAUCAAUUGCUAAGGAAUUAUGAUUUACAAAGUGAAGGAUCAGAAGCAGACGCUCUGAUCAAGGAUGGAUAAGUUCAAUAGACUUAGGGGCACAAUCGACGACAAUUUAAUUGGCGAGAACCAGCUCAUGAUUAAAAUGACAUCUGAGCCGGAAGGAUGAAUUCUGGGAUCUGUUUGAGGAUUCCAAGCAUUCGCAACAAAUCGAAUCAACGGACUCAAAAUGACAAUGAAAAUGGAUGUCAACAAGAUUACUAGACUUAUGUGAUUAACCAUAAUGCAAGCAAUCAAGAAUUUCAAGAGCAAUAGGAUGCUCAAGAUUUACGGAAGAUCGAAUAGUAUUUCAAAGACUUUUGUGAAACAUCUGAACAACUAGGGAUGAGCGGAUACUCGGAAAGUGUGAGAAAUUUUUCUUAGGGGUAUUCAGGUGGCAACAACUGCAAGGCAGUAGGCACAAAAUAUUCUCAGGGUAUCUUGUAAUAAAAAGAUCAACUGGGAAUAAAAGUAAGGACGACAGGUGUAAGUAUUUAUCCAUAGGGAUAUUUCGAUGGAAGGGAAUUGCAAAAGCAACGGGCACAAGGUCUUGAGAGAAAAUGAGAGAGUAUCUUCGAAAUCUUCUGGUGCAGCCGGCAAUCAUCUAGACUGAAGGGGCUCUCCGGGAGGAAGUAAUUGCGAGAACCUAGAGUCGGAGUUAGUAAAAUUGUUUAACCCAAAUAGAAGAGAUGUCAGAGUCCCAGAGAAUAGACGAGGAGUAAAAGAUCCUAAUACCACCCAAUGGCGACGUGGGGCCGUAAGCCGCACAACCAUGUUAGUAAAAGUUUUGUAAAGUCUAGACUCGACUUUGGCCAAGGAGUUGGAAUGGGGAUUCCUACAGGCAGUCGGCUCUGAUACCAACUUGUGGCGCCCCCGAUUCAAUCGUACACUAAUCAUGCACGCAAACGUGUACGAUCAAGAUCAGGGACUCACGGGAAGAUAUCACAACACAACUCUAAAAACAUAAAUAAGUCAUACAAGCAUCAUAAUACAAGCCAAGGGCCUCGAGGGCUCGAAUACAAGUGCUCGAUCAUAGAUGAGUCAGCGGAAGCAACAAUAUCUGAGUACAGACAUAAGUUGAACAAGUUUGCCUUAAGAAGGCUAGCACAAACUGGGAUACAGAUCGAAAGAGGCGCAGGCCUCCUGCCUGGGAUCCUCCUAACUACUCUUGGUCGUCGUCAGCAGCCUGCACGUAGUAGUAGGCACCUCCAGUGUAGUAGUUGUCAUCGACGGUGGCGUCUGGCUCCUGGACUCCAGCAUCUGGUUGCGACAACCAGAAAGAAAGGAAAGGGGGAAAAGGGGGGGAGAAAGCAACUGUGAGUACUCAUCCAAAGUACUCGCAAGCAAGGAGCUACACUACAUAUGCAUGGGUAUAUGUGUAAAGGGCCAUAUCAGUGGACUGAACUGCAGAAUGCCAAAAUAAGAGGGGGAUAUCUAAUCCUGUCGAAGACUACGCUUCUGGCAGCCUCCGUCUUGCAGCAUGUAGAAGAGAGUAGAUUGAAGUUCUCCAAGUAGCAUCUCCAAGUAGCAUCUCCUAGUAGCAUCUCCAGUAGCAUCGCAUAGCAUAAUCCUACCCGGCGAUCCUCCCCUCGUCGCCCUGUGGAAAAGCGAUCACCGGGUUGUCUGUGGAACUUGGAAGGGUGUGUUUUAUUAAGUAUCCGGUUCUAGUUGUCAUAAGGUCAAGGUACAACUCAGGGUCGUCCUUUUACCGAGGGACACAGCUAUUUGAAUAGAUAAACUUCCCUGCAGGGGUGCACCACAUAACCCAACACGCUCGAUCCCAUUUGGCCGGACACACUUUCCUGGGUCAUGCCCGGCCUCGGAAGAUCAACAUGUCGCAGCCCCACCUAGGCACAACAGAGAGGUCAGCCCGCCGGUCUAAAUCCUAUGCGCGCAGGGGUCUGGGCCCAUCGCCCAUUGCACACCUGCACGUUGCGUGGGCGGCCGGAAGCAGACCUAGCAACCUCCAUUACAAAGGAAGUUGCGUUAACGCAGUCCAAUCCGGCGCGCGCCGCUCCAUCGCUGACGUCAAGAAGGCUUCGGCUGAUACCACGACGCCGGGAUACCCAUAACUACUCCCGCGUAGAUGGUUAGUGCGUAUAGACCAAAUGGCCAGACUCAGAUCAAAUACCAAGAUCUCGUUAAGCGUGUUAAGUAUCCGCGAACGCCGAACAGGGCCAGGCCCACCUGUCUCCUAGGUGGUCUCAACCUGCCCUGUCGCUCCGCCACAAAGUAACAGUCGAGGGCCGUCGGGAACCCAGGCCCACCUCUACCGGGAUGGAGCCACCUGUCCUUUCAGCCCCCUCAUCAGAAUCACUUGCGGGUACUCAUCGAGCUGACCCGACUUUAGUCACCAUCUGUACAGUAUGUAUGUAUGUAUAGUAUAUACCCGUGAUCACCUCCCGAGUGAUCACGGCCCAAUAGUAUAGCAAGGCAGACUGACAAGAAUGUAGGGCCAAUGAUGAUAAACUAGCAUCCUAUACUAAGUAUUUAGGAUUGCAGGUAAGGUAUCAACAGAUGUAGCAACAAUGUCAGGCUAUGCAUCAGAAUAGGAUUAACGGAAAGCAGUAACAUGCUACACUACUCUAAUGCAAGCAGUAUAGAGGAGAAUAGGCGAUAUCUGGUGAUCAAGGGGGGGGGCUUGCCUGGUUGCUCUGGCAAGAGAGAGGGGUCGUCAACUCCGUAGUCGUACUGGGUAGCAGCGGCCUCGGUCUCGGUGUCUAGCGAGAGAAGAGGGGGAAGAAACAACAAAUAUUUAAGCAAGCAGGUGCAUAGCGAUGCAUGACAUGACAAGUAUCGGUGCUAGAGGUGCCCUAACGUGGUAUGAGGUGAUACUGGUGAAGGGGGAAACAUCCGGGAAAGUAUCCCCAGAGUUUCGCGUUUUCGGACAGACGGACCGGAGGAGGAAAUUUGCGAGUUCGAUAGGUUAGGGGGGUGUGGCAGACGAGCGGGUUGCGUAUCUGGAAUCAUCUCUUCGUUCUGAGCAACUUUCAUGUACAAGGUUUUUCCAUCCGAGCUACGAUUUAUUUUAUAUUAAUUUUAAAAGAUUUAAUUCAUUUUUAGGAUUUAUUUAAUUAUUUAAAUUCAACAUUAUCCAGAACAGUGCAUGCUGACAUCAGCAUGACAUCAGCAUGACGCCAGCAGUCAACAAAGGCGUUGACUGGUUAACUGACAUGUGGGUCCCAUUCGUCAUUGACUGAUUAGUCUAAUUAGGGUUUAAUUGAACUAUCUACUUAAUUAGAUUAAUUAAACAUGAUUAAUUAACUUAAUUAAUUCAUUAACUAUUUUAAUUGUUAAUUAAUUAAUUAAUUAUUUUUAUUUCGUUUUUUAAAUAAAACGUUCUAGGGGCUAGGCCCACUUGUCUGUGGCACAGGGGCCUUGCGGGUCAGGCGAGCGGGCGUGGGCGCGUGGCUAACGGGCAUAGCCCGAACGGGCACAAGCCCGAGGGGCGCUCGGCACGCACGGUGGCAGCGGCGGCGGCAUGCGCGGGCGCGCGCGCGAGAGAGUGAGCGCACGGGCGUAGCGAGCAUGGCUAUAUGGAGGACGGCGGGCGCGGUGACCUGCGGGGGAAAAAGGAGGAGGAGGGCAGGGCGAGGCUCACCGAGCCCUGUAGUUGAGCAUAGCGGGCUCGAGGAGGAGUCGGGGUUGGCGAGAUGAGGCGGAGGAGGUCCUGGCGACGAGCAGCGACGGCGGGGUGUUCCGGCGACGAGGAGGAAGUCGGAGACGUCGGCGUCGAGGAGGCAGUCCGGCGAGGUGCCCGUCGACGGGCGGUGGGCCGGCGUCGGGCGCGCGGGGGCGAUGACGGGGAGGCGAUCCANNNNNNNNNNNNNNNNNNNNNNNNNNNNNNNNNNNNNNNNNNNNNNNNNNNNNNNNNNNNNNNNNNNNNNNNNNNNNNNNNNNNNNNNNNNNNNNNNNNNNNNNNNNNNNNNNNNNNNNNNNNNNNNNNNNNNNNNNNNNNNNNNNNNNNNNNNNNNNNNNNNNNNNNNNNNNNNNNNNNNNNNNNNNNNNNNNNNNNNNNNNNNNNNNNNNNNNNNNNNNNNNNNNNNNNNNNNNNNNNNNNNNNNNNNNNNNNNNNNNNNNNNNNNNNNNNNNNNNNNNNNNNNNNNNNNNNNNNNNNNNNNNNNNNNNNNNNNNNNNNNNNNNNNNNNNNNNNNNNNNNNNNNNNNNNNNNNNNNNNNNNNNNNNNNNNNNNNNNNNNNNNNNNNNNNNNNNNNNNGAGGGGUGGGCCGGCUGGGCUGGGGGUUGGCCCAGAGGGGGGUUUCUCCUUUUUUUUCUGUUAGUUUUAGGUUUUAGUUUUUUCUGUUUUGUUUUUAUUUAUUUUCUUUUCUGUUUUAAAUCAGUUUAAAUUAUUUAGACAUUUUCUAAAAAUGUGAUUGAUGUACCAUAACUACCCUUGUAAUAUUUGGCACCCACCGAACAUUUUUGUUUCUACUUUCGAAAACUUUUAUUGUCGACAUUAAUUUUAAAUUUUAAUUUGACGCGGUUUGAGCUAACGGACGUUUAGCAUCAGUAAUCGGGAUGACGUGGCUUGAUUAGCGUGGGAUUAUUUUAGCAAGAUUAUCCGGGCGUCACAC
rnacentral:lncRNA from 1 species